rnacentral:rRNA from 1 species
AUUGAACGCUGGCGGCAGGCCUAACACAUGCAAGUCGAGCGGAUCGGCGGCCGGGUGAGUAAUACCUAGGAAUCUGCCUGUUCGUGGGGGAUAACGUCCGGUAACGGGCGCUAAUACUGCAUACUAGCACAUUCGCAUAGGUCGGAUUAGCUAGUUGGUGGGGUAAAGGCCUACCCAGGCGACGAUCCCUAACUGGUCUGAGAGGAUGAUCAUUCACACUGGAACUGAGACACGGCCCAGACUCCUACGGGAGGCAGCAGUGGGGAAUAUUGGACAAUGGGCGAAAGCCUGAUGCAGCCAUGCCGCGUGUGUGAAGAAGGUCUUCGGAUUGUAAAGCACUUUAAGUUGGGAGGCGUUACCAACAGAAGAAGCACCGGCUAACUUCGUGCCAGCAGCCGCGGUAAUUC